UACGUAGGUGGCAAGCGUUGUCCGGAAUUAUUGGGCGUAAAGCGCGUGUAGGCGGCUUUGCAAGUCGGGUGUGAAAGCCCUCAGCUCAACUGAGGAAGUGCGCCCGAAACUGCAGAGCUUGAGUACCGGAGAGGAUGGCGGAAUUCCCCAAGUAGAGGUGAAAUUCGUAGAUAUCAGGAGGAACACCGAUGGCGAAGGCGGCUAUCUGGACAGAAACUGACGCUGAGGCGCGAAAGCUAGGGGAGCAAACAGG
rnacentral:rRNA from 1 species